rfam:Glycine soja cultivar W05 scaffold5405_6, whole genome shotgun sequence.
GGUUGGCUGUGAGGAUGACUAUUUCAGCUUUAAAUGCCAGUUCUGCUUCUGAGAAAUCGUGAUUGAUAGAGCUGUAAUACAUUCUGAGCCCCUAUU